UAGACCCGCUUUUGCGUUAGGGCUGUCCCUGUCCCCCCCCUCGCCACCUCCCGGCCGCGCCGUCAAAGCGGGCGGCAGGCACCUGGUGGGGCUGGAUAAGCCGUCAUGCGUGCGAAGAGGUGAAAGACAUGUAAAAUCAUAUUCCAGGAUCUCAGAAAUGUGCCAAAGUCUUCUAGCAAAAAAAUGAGGAAUUGCGUAUCUAAUAUUAGCAAGAGAGGACGAAGGACUCUGACAUUUCAGUACUGAAAACUUCUGCAGAUGUGCAAGUUGGAGGAAAAAUACUCAGUUACCUUAAAUACUGAGGUAGCAGAGCCCCUGCAGAACCA